CAGCUGGUGCCAGCAGCCGCGGUAAUUCCAGCUCCAAUAGCGUAUAUUAAAGUUGUUGCAGUUAAAAAGCUCGUAGUUGAAUUUUGGGAUCAAUAUGUUGGUCGUGCCUUGGUACGUACUGGCGUCAUUGGUUUCUACCUUCUGAAGAACCUCGAUGUCAUUAAUUUGGUGUCUUGGGGAAUCAGGACUGUACUUUGAAAAAAUUAGAGUGUUUAAAGCAAGCUCAUGCUUGAAUACAUUAGCAUGGAAUAAUGAAAUAGGACGUUUGAUUCUAUUUUGUUGGUUUCUAGGAUCGACGUAAUGAUUAAUAGGGAUAGUUGGGGGCAUUAGUAUUCAAUUGUCAGAGGUGAAAUUCUUGGAUUUAUUGAAGACUAACUACUGCGAAAGCAUUUGCCAAGGAUGUUUUCAUUAAUCAAGAACGAAAGUUAGGGGAUCGAAGACGAUCAGAUACCGUCGUAGUCUUAACCAUAAACUAUGCCGACUAGGGAUCGGAUGAUGUUAAUUUUUUAAUGACUC
rnacentral:rRNA from 2 species